UUUAAAGCAAAAAAAGACCCUAACAUCUCUUCUCACCUUUUUAAUUCCAGCCGCCAGCCCCUCCUCUCUUUCCCUAAGUGAGUUGUGACUGAAGCAUCUCCUCCGCCUGCCGCCGACGCCGCUCCGAUCGAAGACCGCUGCAACGUCGCGACGCUACACAUCUUCAGCAACUUUCGCUACGUGAUUUGAGCUUCAGCAGCAAAGACGCGACACUUGCAACAGCCUUCGUGCAUCGCCACCGUGAGGCACUGCACACCGCCGCCGUUUUUCCCUCUUAUUGCCGGAAAUAUUUGAAUAGUGGCUGAUUUGCCAUUAUGGAAGAGAUGGUGUGGAAGUGUUUCGAUUCUAGGGGACAACGACUACCAUGUGGAUGUUGUUUGAGCUAGCUGGCUAUAAUCUCGUCUUUUGUAGCCAAUGUGUUACUUCUUCUUCUUGUUCUGGGCCAAAUCUGCUUCCCUUCUCAACAGGCUGCUGGUGUCCUUCAAGUGUAUGCCAAUCAUGCACUGUCAAUUGCAAGUGAGAUUACGCUCAGCAAUUUGAAAUUGUUUCUUCAGGGAAAAUGACGACCAACAAAGGAAAAGAGACAGAAAAGAUUUCAUUAAGGUCCCAGACAAAUAUCAUAAAAACAAAUCCGGCAACUGCAAAAUUAAUUACUUCUGGACCAUCCAUUCAAAGACCAUUGUAUAUUAGUAGUACUAGCAUAAUAAAUAGACCAUUGUCCCCAAUUUCUAGUGCACUAGUAACACAACCAAGUUAUUCUAGACCGAGAUCACCCAGACCCAAUUUCUCUCCAAAUUUUACUUCACUAAAUAGAUAUAGUCCAUUGCAAUCUCCAAUGGGAUCAAUUAGGCCUAUUACACCAUCCACCUUUAAACAGAUUGUUUCACAGGCUUCAUCCUCCAGCCAAAGCCCACAAGUUUCACAAGAACCAUCAGAAUAUAAAUAUAAGCCUAUUGAAGACUAUAUCAUCACAAUAGAACCUGAAUAUUGGGCAAAAAAUCCAAAUCUUAAUACUUACCAGCUCUGUGAGUCAAUUUUUCCCAAAACACAUUUUUAUAUUCCUGACAAUUUUAACAAAUCCCAACAAUACUAUGAAGCCAUUCUUAUCCAGACAAACUCUAUACUCAUGCAAAAUAAUCAUGAUCCUCAAUAUCCAACCAAAAUUAGAUAUUGUAAAGUCCGCCUCUUGAAGGUAUGGACUCUGGCAGAGUGGGGACAAGAGCCCCACCAGACAAAGUAACUUAUUUUGACAAAUGGACAAAAUAUAAAGUAUAAUUAUUAUGAUUAUC